AUUGAACGCUGGCGGCAUGCUUUACACAUGCAAGUCGAACGGCAGCACGGGGGCAACCCUGGUGGCGAGUGGCGAACGGGUGAGUAAUAUAUCGGAACGUACCCGGAAAUGGGGGAUAACGUAGCGAAAGUUACGCUAAUACCGCAUAUGCCCUAAGGGGGAAAGCGGGGGAUUCGCAAGAACCUCGCGUUUUCGGAGCGGCCGAUAUCGGAUUAGCUAGUAGGUGAGGUAAAGGCUCACCUAGGCGACGAUCCGUAGCUGGUCUGAGAGGACGACCAGCCACACUGGAACUGAGACACGGUCCAGACUCCUACGGGAGGCAGCAGUGGGGAAUUUUGGGACAAUGGGCGCAAGCCUGAUCCAGCCAUGCCGCGUGAGUGAAGAAGGCCU
rnacentral:rRNA from 1 species